rnacentral:lncRNA from 1 species
UCCCUGUCACAUGUACCCGCCACAGGUAUCUCUCAUGGAGAACGCCCAGGUAGCAUUCCCCGGCAAGACUUGUCCCAAGACUCGUCGUAAAUCCUGCUCGGUCGACUCGACCCUCACCACACACCCAAGACACACGCCAAGAUCUCCCCAUAUCCAUUAUCCAUUUCUUAACCAGUUAUCGGCACACGUGCCUUAUCCACUCACAUCCAAUCCUUCACAAUGCAUCACAUCACAGAUAUAAUGCGUAGUAGAAGCAGUAGCAAGUAGUAUGCAAGCAUCUAUCCUAACAGCGGGUGUGCGAGGGUUAUAGGUUGCAACAAGGCAAUGGCUCACAAGCAUUUCUACCAUGCAACCUAUCUCAGUUCAUUUGCAUAAAAGUAAAGCACUAGCAUCUACAUUAUUGCAUGUCUAAUAGGAUUCUACGAGGUUGGGUGGGACGUGGCACCUGUCGAGUGACAUUUCCAGGAUCCUCAGUUCACUUGUAGUUGUACUCAUCCAAGGUCUUUCUCCUAUCUGCAUGUCCUUCCUUCGACUGGUUCCGACUCGAUCAACGCUAACCCCGAAGCGACUACCUCGUAAGCGACAAUCAAGGCGAAACAAUCAAACCACUAGACCUCGAGAGACUGCGAAAAGAGACAAAGAACACUGAAGAACAACUACACUAAAGAGUACCGAAAGGAUAAUGACUUAGCCCUCUCGGUGGAUGCCCGAUCCCUGGGCUAAAGAAAUGAGAAUGGUUGUUUACUAAGUACAAGCUGGAGUCUUCGCCUAGCCGUUACUUCCCGGGUCGAUCGUGUCGACCUGCACGGCUUUAAUAAUAAAGGUGUAGACUCUAACUCAUUUUAAGUAAACACCAUGGCUUACGAACUUUCGAUCCAAGCGUCAUAGAGAUUGACGAGAACCAAACGGUUGUAAGCACAAGAACUCUGUUCUCUCUCAACCCGUACGCCAUUAUGAUUGGCGAGAGUCAAGAGAGGGUGAAACAAAGAGAGAAGAAAAGGGGAGUGGUCUACUCCUUCCAGUCCACUCGCCACGGUAAGAGACGAGGAAUUAGAAAGAGUGACGCACAAAGAAAAAAAGAGUGCUCAAGCUACUUAUAGGGUACCACGACCUAGGUACACUGAAUGCACUAAGACAUUCCUCGGGUCCAUAGCAGUGCGGUUGUCACCGCGAGAACCAAAGAAAUGCUACGGUCGAAUAGGUACAAGCAUACAAGAGUUUAAGCACGAAGAACCCAAAAGGCAAGAAAGGACACGGGUUUUACUUUCCAUUGAUCCGCUCGCCAUAACAACGACGGGAGUCACGGGAUUGGAAACAAAACAUCAAACAAAUAAAAGGGGCUCAAUCCACAUCUUACUGGAUCGAUGGGGAUUAAUAUCAAGAGAAGAAGAAUGGAGUUCAUACUCUUUCGACCAACUCAUCAUGGGACAACGACAGUUGGGUAAAAGGAAUACGACCCCACGAUCUAUUCCAACUUAUAACACUUUACGACCUAGGUGCUUCUGAAUCGGCACAAGGUCAUUCCUAUAGUUCCAGACGAUGCGGUUGUCAUCGCGGGAACUAGGGAAAUGCCCGGGUCUAGGUGGCAUAAGCAUACGAGACAGAUAAGAUAAUCGUGCGAGAAAAAUAGUUAAAGCCCGAUGGUCAUGGCGAGGCAAACUCGCGUCCAUGAGCUUCACCUAACGAGUUGGCUUCCGACUGUCCCACAAAGGUUGCCCCCUAAUUCGUAUCCCACUAGACAAGAUCAUGAAGGUCUCGAAUGGUGCGGUUAAGAUCCGCGUCGAUAACGACAUCGAGUCCACGAUGACCAUGUCCGAGGGACGGAAAUAGGAGCUAACGACCGUAGCGCAACGAAGUCAACUAAACACAGGGAAUGAGUUACGCUCGGCAUCGCGAUCACGGCGGGACGAACCCACGAUCGAAAUGAUCGAACACACUACCAUUUCCCUAACCGGCUCGAAGGCUCGGUCCUCAGGCAACGACAAACACAUAAAGAAUCACGACUCGAUCAAAGACAACACAAGGGACACGAUGACAACUCGGAGUAGCACAUUUCCAUAGCACGAGAGAUAGAUAGAUAAAUAAUUAGACCGGCAUGAAGGCACGGCACAGGCAAUGAUAUAGGCGAAGAUAGGUCGUGCUACAAGUAUAGAUAAUUCAUGAUAAGGACAUACGAUAGAUAACAAAAUGAUGUAUGAAUAGAUAUGAAUUAAUAUGGAGUUCCAACGUCGACUAGGGUUUAGGGGGGGUUUUCGACCUUGACGAACAUGAGGAAGGUGGCGGAGACCUGCUGCUGCCACUCUGAUCCGGCUAUGAUCUGCCGCUGACCAGCUGUGGCUUGCUGCGGCUGGUUGGAAGCGGUUGCGGCUUGCUGCAGCGAGUCCAGGGGUUAGCCGAGGGCAGCAGUGUGGUCCAGCCAUGCGGCAAUGGUGCCCCAAGGGCACAUCCUCCCUGCAAGGUGUAGAACACGGCACGAAGGCCGAUCUCAGCAUGGUGAACGCAGGAAGGGGAAAACUUUGGUCUUGGCGAGCUCACCGGGGUUUGGCUUGGCGAAGACAGGGACAAGAGCUUGACGCGGUGACCGUGGCGAGGACGGGGACGCGUCGGGGCCCGACGUCGCGCUCGGUGGUCGCGGCUCCUGAGCGCGGACGUGGACGCCACGGGCUUCAGGUCGGCCGUGGCCGGAGCUGGCGUCGCGGGGCACCGAGGCGGCUCGGCAGUGCUGUGGCGCCCGCGUGGCCAGCCGUGGUCGAAGCUCGACGCGGCGAGGGCAGCGUCGCGGCUGGCCACGGCUCGGCGAAGGUGGCUUCUGGGCGUCAUGUCAGCCGUCGAAGCAAGGGCGCCGUCGUCUCGGGCUCUCGGUGGCGCAGUGGGUGCUCGUCGCGGACAACUCAAGCGCCUGCGUCCCGGUGCGGCCGUGGCAUCCGCGUGGCCGUCCGCGGUCGCGAGUCCGCACGACGCCGCGGUCGCGGAGGACGCCGGGGCCUCGGUGGCGUCCAGGCUUGACGUGAAGGCGUUGUCGCGGCGCCGGUCAUGGAGGACAAGGCGGAGGGCGGCGGCGCUGGGUGGAGGGAACAGAGGACUGCGGCGGCGCCACUAGGGAAGAGCUCGAGGGCGUGGCGGCGGCUGGGCUCUUUAUAGGCGUCGAGGCUAGGGCUUCAGAGUGGAGGCGUUCAUCCUCGGCGUCCGUGUCCACAGCGGGACACGCGGCGCGCAUCGGCACGAACGCCGAGGUGGAGGGGGCAGGCGUGGGCGCGGGGGGGCGGUUCUGCCCACUCUGGGCGGCGGCGGCGGCGGCCUGGGCGAGCUGGGCGCGAGCGCGCGUGGCAGGCUUAGGGUUAGGGGGGGUCGCGCGGUGGGAAAGGCCAGGGAGGGGCGCUGCCUCCCUCGUGGGCCACGGCCUGGCUUGGCGACUUGGGCCGGAGGAGGAGCUGGGCCGUGCGCGCGGGUUGGGCCGGGGCAAGGCGCGCGUGGGAGCUGGGCCGCGGGGAGGGGAAGGGUGCUGGGAUGGUUGGGCUAAAUGCGCGAGGUGGGCCGUGUGUGGGCGCCUGUGCGGCUGGGCCAAAGGCCAAGGAGGGGAGCUCAAGAGAAGGGAGUGAUUUCCUAUUUUGCUAAAUGAUGGAAAGAGGAUUUUCUACCCUUUGCUAAAAUGGUUGAGAGGAAAAGGAAAAGUGAUUGAGAUGAGUUGCCAAAAUUCAAGAUAGAUUUGCUGGCGGAGAUUUAAGAUAAGAUCAAAGAGAGAGAGAAGGGAAUUUCAGGGAGAGUUCAAAAGGAUCAAAAGGAGUUUGAGACGUACUCCAACGAAAAGGUUGAGAAGGGAUCCGCUUCGCCUUUGAGAUAGGCUCAACGAAAAUUCGGGAAGGCUUUGCUACGGAUUUGUGCACUCUAAAAGAAACUCAAAACCCUAACAAGAUCCAACUUAAGACGACCCGUCUACAAACAAAUCUAUAUGUAUGCCACGAUUUGUUAGCGGGUUAGGAUCGAGUUUGACCUAAAUACUAUAUGAUUCACAUGAUUACAGGAAAAAAAAUUUUAAAAAAAACUCGUAUUUUUGGUUUUCGUGAAAAUCUGGGAUGUUACAGUCCACCCUCCUUACAGGAAUCUCGUCCCCGAGAUUUAGGCGUUGCUCGGUCGGUGAAGAAACGCGGGUGUCGUUCCCAAAGCUUUUCUUACUUCUGAGUUGUUUUGCUAUCAGAAAGAUGGCUCCACAAACCUUUUCCAUGUGGGGGCGAGUCAUGUUCAGGAUGUAUCCAAGGCUCACUCGCUGGUGUUGGGUAUCCAAAUUCUCACAAUAAGGCGAUGGGUAUCCAAGAAUCGCACCAGGUUGAUGAACAUCUGGCUCUCUAGGAGUGCAUGGCAGGCUUAAACAUAGCUAGGGUUGUUGGCUUUCACCAGCAGUUUUUCAUGCAUCACUCUUUGCAAAAAGCUUUUGAAAGGAAUGUUUUUCGGAAAAAACAGGUUUCAUAAAUGGAGUGAAAGCGAUUUUACAAAGUCAAUUUUUUUUUUUGAGACUUCAAAAUGAAGAGAGCUUUUGCAGAGGGUUGAAUUCAAUACAAGUUUUGAGAACCAAAUAUUUUGAAGGUUUUAUUAUAAAAGAUUUCAAAUCAAAAGAUUUUAAAAUUCUUUCAUUUUAUUAUUACUAUUUUCUUUAAAACAAGGUAUUGCUCCCUUUUUAUUAGAGUCAAACAAAUUAGUUUUGAAAAUAACAAGAAAUCAUUUCGCAUUUUGAAAGUUAGAGCCUUCACAACCAAAACAUUUUUGAAACUUGAAAGUCCAUUUCGUUCUUUUUUUUGAAAGGUUGCUAAACAAAAACUUUUCACAAUGGUUUUUGUUUAAUAAAUCACUGGGAAUUCCUUUUUCUUUUAAGGCAAGGUUGAAUUUUAAAAGGAAUUUGGCUCUUGAGAUAAAAUCAAAGACAUUUAAAACAAAACUGAGCCAAAGAUCUUUGGUUUGAAAACCACUUUGUUGGUUGAAGGUAGAACUUUUGAUUUUCAGAAAGAGGAUUGGUAACACCUUUUGAAGAUAACUUGUUUUUAAACCGUUUCAUAAAUAGAGUUUGAGUUGAGAAAGGGGGGUUAAAAUUGCUUUAUUUGUGAAAAGGGAAGAAUAUUGAGAGAGUUUUGAAACACUUUUCCUUUUGAAACCAAGAUGUUUUGUAAAAGAGAUAAACUUUUUCAACCAAAAAGGAGAGAAACUUUUUCAACAAAAGGGCAAUUUUGAAGACAAGUUUAGUUGGAAGCCAAAAACAGUUUUGAAAUAGAUGGGCAAGACAUGAUGCAUCAGCUUUAAACCCUUUUUCGGCUCUGUUAGCCAGGGUCACUUAUCUAGUUUCGGGACAGUCUUAGGUUUAGCCAGCUAGAUUGGACGGGAUCCAGAGUCUUUCUCGCAUAAAACAAGUUCUAUGACUUACACUCAGACAUCAAGAAGCAGAAGAAACGCAACAACAUAAGAUCCAAGCACUCAAACAGCAUUACAACUCCUAAUGCAUAGUGUUGACUUGAGGCGACUCACAGACCUUCAAAGUCUCACACAACUAUCGAUCUAGCGUGGGCGGGUAUGGGAAAAGAUUCCAACGGUCAACUUUAUGAAACAGGGAGGUCAGUUAGCAGCAGAAUUCAAGGCGAAGGGGGGAAAACAAGUGUUAGCAUCUAUAACUCUACAAAAGAUAGAAUGUUUGGCUUCUAAACUAGUAUUUGGUCCUAAAGGUCUCGUCCUAGGGUCAAGUAUGGCUCUGAUACCAACUGAAACGACCCAGAUUUUUCCACAAAGGGAAAAAUCCACAGAUUCGAAUUAUAAUGUGAUAAUUCAAAAAUUGAACCAUCGCAUUAUCAUAUAUCAGCUGUUAUCGUAGUCAUACAUCGUGAGAAACAAGAUUACAACACAUUUGCUUUACAACUCUUGAUUAACAAGCUUAUUACAUUGUUUUUCUAGCGGAAACACACGCGAGUCUUUAUCAGAGUCGAUGUAGCGCGACAGCGGUGAAGGCUCCUCCUUCACGGACAAUCAUCAGAGUCGGCGUAGUUUAUCAGCGGGCGCAGCCUUCAUCUCUGAACCAAACUUGAGCGCAGGAACGAGACCACCUAAUCCUUCUAUUCUCCGUAGUUAUCGUCAUAGAUCACGUUCAAAACCUGCUAAACAAUUUUCAGUACGAUUUGUACUGGCCACUGGCUCCCACCCUAUGCUUUUGCGUAAGCUUUGUGGUAAGUGGAAUGCAAAAGGGUAGAUCAAGAGGCCUAUAUAUGGUUGUAGUUUUUCCUAUGCAAGUUCAUCAAUAUUUUAAUAAAAAUAAUUCAUCAAGUUUUAAUCCAUCUCAACCACACGUCCAUCCAUCCAUCCCAUCACACGCAUCUCACCACACUCUCACUCUCUAGGCGGCAAGUACGACUCCCGCUCGUGCCUUGCCUCAACGGCCAACGCCGGAUCCAACACAAACCCAGGGGAAGGUAGAAAGGACUCCUCUCACUAGUCAAGCGAAGCGGAACAUAGGAAAGGUCCAUAGCCGAGAAGACGGCAUAUGUAUCGAUCGAUCAACCAAACUCUGCAGAGGUUUACACUAACCACAAGAUCACCAUCAUCGACGAACCGGCUCGUCUAGGCUGAUACCGGGCUGCCUUCCAACUAAAUACGAUGCCACCCUACCACUCAGGACUGGGGCCAUACCGGAGUACCACCGGCAUGCUGAGACUGUGAGGCGUAGUACCGGGCCCCCAAAGGUCACUACGCUGUCUUAGGAGGGUGUGGGUCCUCAUGCCCGUACCUCCCUACACUAUCCGCUAUCAACCUAGUAGUAGUGGCACCGCACUAGCUGGUCGUACAUCCGUCCCGCACCAUAAUAAGGCGAGUGGCGUGUAAGGCUUCCUACGAACCGGUUCUCAGAACAUCUCAGUCCUUAGGGUAACCGAACAGGACAUCUUCACGAGGGGCCAGCCGAUGCCCCUCUCGACGGGACACCCGGCUACCCCGUGCUAUACAGCACCUCCCAUCCCGGUGCUUCGUCCCACGAAGACACUCCACUCCGGGACCUCUCCCUGUCACAUGUACCCGCCACAGGUAUCUCUCAUGGAGAACGCCCAGGUAGCAUUCCCCGGCAAGACUUGUCCCAAGACUCGUCGUAAAUCCUGCUCGGUCGACUCGACCCUCACCACACACCCAAGACACACGCCAAGAUCUCCCCAUAUCCAUUAUCCAUUUCUUAACCAGUUAUCGGCACACGUGCCUUAUCCACUCACAUCCAAUCCUUCACAAUGCAUCACAUCACAGAUAUAAUGCGUAGUAGAAGCAGUAGCAAGUAGUAUGCAAGCAUCUAUCCUAACAGCGGGUGUGCGAGGGUUAUAGGUUGCAACAAGGCAAUGGCUCACAAGCAUUUCUACCAUGCAACCUAUCUCAGUUCAUUUGCAUAAAAGUAAAGCACUAGCAUCUACAUUAUUGCAUGUCUAAUAGGAUUCUACGAGGUUGGGUGGGACGUGGCACCUGUCGAGUGACAUUUCCAGGAUCCUCAGUUCACUUGUAGUUGUACUCAUCCAAGGUCUUUCUCCUAUCUGCAUGUCCUUCCUUCGACUGGUUCCGACUCGAUCAACGCUAACCCCGAAGCGACUACCUCGUAAGCGACAAUCAAGGCGAAACAAUCAAACCACUAGACCUCGAGAGACUGCGAAAAGAGACAAAGAACACUGAAGAACAACUACACUAAAGAGUACCGAAAGGAUAAUGACUUAGCCCUCUCGGUGGAUGCCCGAUCCCUGGGCUAAAGAAAUGAGAAUGGUUGUUUACUAAGUACAAGCUGGAGUCUUCGCCUAGCCGUUACUUCCCGGGUCGAUCGUGUCGACCUGCACGGCUUUAAUAAUAAAGGUGUAGACUCUAACUCAUUUUAAGUAAACACCAUGGCUUACGAACUUUCGAGGGGCGCUGCCUCCCUCGUGGCGCUGCCUCCCUCGUGGGCCACGGCCUGGCUUGGCGACUUGGGCCGGAGGAGGAGCUGGGCCGUGCGCGCGGGUUGGGCCGGGGCAAGGCGCGCGUGGGAGCUGGGCCGCGGGGAGGGGAAGGGUGCUGGGAUGGUUGGGCUAAAUGCGCGAGGUGGGCCGUGUGUGGGCGCCUGUGCGGCUGGGCCAAAGGCCAAGGAGGGGAGCUCAAGAGAAGGGAGUGAUUUCCUAUUUUGCUAAAUGAUGGAAAGAGGAUUUUCUACCCUUUGCUAAAAUGGUUGAGAGGAAAAGGAAAAGUGAUUGAGAUGAGUUGCCAAAAUUCAAGAUAGAUUUGCUGGCGGAGAUUUAAGAUAAGAUCAAAGAGAGAGAGAAGGGAAUUUCAGGGAGAGUUCAAAAGGAUCAAAAGGAGUUUGAGACGUACUCCAACGAAAAGGUUGAGAAGGGAUCCGCUUCGCCUUUGAGAUAGGCUCAACGAAAAUUCGGGAAGGCUUUGCUACGGAUUUGUGCACUCUAAAAGAAACUCAAAACCCUAACAAGAUCCAACUUAAGACGACCCGUCUACAAACAAAUCUAUAUGUAUGCCACGAUUUGUUAGCGGGUUAGGAUCGAGUUUGACCUAAAUACUAUAUGAUUCACAUGAUUACAGGAAAAAAAAUUUUAAAAAAAACUCGUAUUUUUGGUUUUCGUGAAAAUCUGGGAUGUUACACACUGACCGACUCGAUCUACCGGUAAUAGCACAAUUACCAGCGCUCGAUCUCGAUGCACGAUCGAUCGGGACUGAUCAGUAGAGCCUGUAGUGGCGGUAGGACUUGAGCAUGGCGCCGCAGAAGGUGCAGAUGAUGGCGCGCCAGGUGCGGCGGUGCACGGUGAGCAGGUAGCAGACCCUGGUGGCGGUCUCCAUGUCCGCCACGCUAGCGCACCCGCCGCAGCGCGAGCAGAUCCCCGCCGCCGGCUUGCUGCUCCGCACCUUCCGCCGCUGGUCCACCAGGAAGCAGAAGAACACCAUCGCUCGCCCGCUCGCUCCUCCUGGCUGCUGGCUCCCUCGGCCCGCUAGCUGGAUCGCGCACUCUCCAAUCCAACAACCACUGUUCUUCUUGCGUGUGCGCGGCGCGCGCUUGUAUGUAUAUAUAGAGCGGCAGCCGGCAGGUGGCAAUAAUGCGGGGCGCGACCGCGCGAGGCUUGCAAGCAACGGGUAAUGGAGGCUGGCUGGCGAGAGUGAGGUCAGCAAUGGCCGGCGAGCAGCAGCCAGCAGGCGGCAGUUCUACGUGCGGCGGCGGGGGCGAAGGAAGGAGGAUGGUAGGGGAUUUAAGGCGAGGCAUAUGGACCGCAUUGAUGGCGGGCAGGAGGGUGG